rnacentral:rRNA from 2 species
UACGUAGGGGGCAAGCGUUGUCCGGAUUUACUGGGCGUAAAGCGCGUGUAGGCGGAAGCGCAAGUCCGGUGUGAAAGCCCCCGGCUCAACCGGGGAAGGUCGCUGGAAACUGCGCUCCUUGAGGACGACAGAGGGAAGUGGAAUUGCUGGUGUAGCGGUGAAAUGCGUAGAGAUCAGCAGGAACACCCGUGGCGAAGGCGGCUUCCUGGGUCGUGCCUGACGCUGAGACGCGAAAGCGUGGGGAGCGAACGGG